GACCUCAGAUCAGACAAGGAUACCCGCUGAACUUAAGCAUAUCAAUAA
rnacentral:rRNA from 5 species